UCGCCUUUCCUCCUCCCCCUCGGAGCCGGCUUCUCCCCCGCCCCGUUUCUCCCCCACUUGAGUACGCUAUUUGUUGCGGGGUGGCCGAAGGGGAUGUCCUGUUUCCACCAGAGGCACAGCGCGAAGGGGAAACUUCGACACUGGAAGGAACGAGAAUAAAUAUCUAAGUAGCGACGCGCGGAUCCGCGGCUGGGACACGCGCUUGAACUUCGGGAUCCCGAGGCGGCCGGGCGGCAGGAGAUAGUCCACUCUUAAUUGAAGGAAGCUGCUUCUACGUGGGAGUGUCAGGAGAAGUGAGAAAACCACAUGGAAGACACCCAGGAUUUAAAUGAACAAUCAGUGAAGAAAACGUGCACAGAAUCAGAUGUUUCAGAACCUCAGAAUUCCAGGU